UGAGAGGAUCACUCUACAAAUUUCACUCUAGAGCAUCCAGACCCCCGAGAUUGUGGUUUCGCAUUCAAGGAAAAGAAAAAAAAUAUGCAAAUCACACCAUCUCAAGCGCUAUAUAGGAGGCUUUAUCGAUGUUUUAUAUUUGUUUUUUUACUACGUCAAAGAAGGUUUAGGAUGAGUUUGGUUAAUGGAUUUUGGAAGAGAUUUGGAAAGGAAAAUUCAAAAUGUGUCAUUUGGUUGUGAUAUUAGCAAUGAUUGUGGGGCGUGAAUCCUGAUGGCGUGCAAGCACGUUCAGGGUGACAAGCAAAACCAAUGAGAAGGCAAAAACAAAAUUAGAUAACUGGUUCAGUCUGAAAGAGAGCCAUUCCAUUGCUGACACAUUAUGGAACCAUGACCUUGAGUGGUUGUCAAUAAGGCUGAGAUUUUUAUCAAUGAAGCGAUCUUUUUGGUCAAAAGCGCGGAUUGUUGCUGCUCCUGAUAGUGAUUCUCCAAAGUGGUGGAGGAUUGGAGCUAGUUGUAUCCCUGAUAAGCGGCCCAGUUCUCUUGCAGUUGAUUGCUGUUACUGGAAUGAAGAUUGCAAAUACUUCCCAUGCUACCUGUGACAUGACAGCGAUGGUCCCCAAAAGCUGAAUUAUUGAGAAAGCGCACCAACCUAAUCUGUUUGCCAUCUCCAAGUCUACUACACUUUGGUCUGUAGAUGCCUGUGAAUAAAGAUAACUAGUUGUUAUAUGCUUUCAUUUAUUUUAUGAACACAACAUAUAAGUAUUGAAAAGAAACAAAUGUAUUGAAAUUUAUGGGAUUUAUGUUAGUGAAAAUGAAUGAGCAAGACUUAUCAUUAGCUGGAACUUCACCUUAACAGCUGCAAAAUCAAAACUAUCUUUUUCAUUUGUUCUUUUUGCCGUUUGCUUUUAUUUAUACAUAUUUGUUAUCCUGUCUAUGAUGGAGGUAUGACUGACAAAUUUGACUGCAGUCAGAAAGCAAUGGUCAGUUUCUGGCAUUACAAUAAUGGAGGACUUGAGGUAGUGUAGUUUCUAUACCUCAAAAAGUUUUUACCUUCAUGUGGGGCACUGGUACCUUUAAUACACUAGUAAUAGUAAAUUUGUGAUUUAUUGAUUCUGAAUCAAA